rnacentral:rRNA from 2 species
CCGAAUGGGGAAACCCAGUGUGACUCGUCACACUAUCAUUAACUGAAUCCAUAGGUUAAUGAGGCGAACCGGGGGAACUGAAACAUCUAAGUACCCCGAGGAAAAGAAAUCAACCGAGAUUCCCCCAGUAGCGGCGAGCGAACGGGGAGGAGCCCAGAGCCUGAAUCAGCAUGUGUGUUAGUGGAAGCGUCUGGAAAGGCGCGCGAUACAGGGUGACAGCCCCGUACACAAAAGCGCAUGUGCUGUGAGCUCGAUGAGUAGGGCGGGACACGUGGUAUCCUGUCUGAAUAUGGGGGGACCAUCCUCCAAGGCUAAAUACUCCUGACUGACCGAUAGUGAACCAGUACCGUGAGGGAAAGGCGAAAAGAACCCCGGCGAGGGGAGUGAAAAAGAACCUGAAACCGUGU